GGAGAGACGGACUAGAAGGCUGACGAGAGUGGCGGAGAGGGCAUUUUCCGUGAGCAGGACGAGUUCGUCAUCCGCGCAGAGGACAUCCUUUCCCUCAAGGACACAAACCUGUAACAGAACUGCAGACAUCAAGCAUGGCUUCAAGCAUUCAGGGUUGCUUUGAAGACUAACCAGCAACACAGUUUGACAAGCCAUCGUCAAACUGCCUGGGGCAAUGUAACGUAACAAUGAGUAAUAUGGAUGAAGCACUUACUGUGAGCUGCCUUUUCUCCUUAAUCCUCAUUACAAAUCUAUGGCUACAGCAUUGGAUUAAAAGUCACACCCUGAAGCAUUAACGCUUGAGCAUCUGUACCAAGUUUUAUAUCCUUGGUAUAAGCCCGAAGGAGGUGAGGAGCCAGUUACCUGGGCAUCAGUUCCAUCUGGCAAAGGACUGUGGGUAAUGGAAGCAUUUCUGCAGGGUGGCAGCAGGGUGUGUGUGCAGCAAGGCAUGUCAUCAGUGGUGAGUGAGAAGUUCAUUCCUUUUUAUGGCCGAAUAAUAGCCAAUGCACAUUGACAGCCUCCUACCUCUAGCAUCAGUCCCUAAUUUUCUGCUGUGGGUUUUCUCUGGCC